UACAGAGGUCCCAAGCGUUGUUCGGAUUCACUGGGCGUAAAGGGUGCGUAGGUGGUCGGGAUAGUCCAAUGUGAAAUCUCCGAGCCCAACUCGGAAACGGCGUUGGAGACAUCACGACUUGAGGUUUGGAGGGGGGGCUGGAAUUCUCGGUGUAGCAGUGAAAUGCGUAGAUAUCGAGAGGAACACCAGUGGCGAAGGCGAGUCCCUAGACAACACCUGACACUGAGGCACGAAAGCUAGGGGAGCAAACAGG
rnacentral:rRNA from 1 species